AGCGAACGUUAGCGGCGCGCUUAACACAUGCAGGUCGAACGAGAAAGCACCUUCGGGUGUGAGUAGAGUGGCGGACGGGUGCGUAACACGUAGGUAAUCUGCCCUUGAGCGGGGGAUAACGUUUCGAAAGAGACGCUAAUACCCCAUAAGACCACAGACUGUCCGCAGUCAGUGGCCAAAGGAUGGGAGUCUUCGGACCCAUCCACUUAAGGAGGAGCCUGCGGCUCAUCAGCUUGUUGGUAAGGUAACGGCUUACCAAGGCUAAGACGGGUAGCUGGUCUGAGAGGAUGAUCAGCCACACUGGUACUGAAACACGGACCAG
rnacentral:rRNA from 1 species